rnacentral:lncRNA from 1 species
ACGGCCAGAACGUGGUGGGGAUCAAGGACCCCGAAAUAACGAAGAUUAUUGAGAGCGCAGGGAAUGUCAUCACGGUCACAGUGAUUCCAUCUUUUGUCUACGAUCACAUGAUCAAACACACAUCUGGGGGCAUGCUUAAGAAGCUGAUGGACCACUCGAUUCCAGACAUGUAAGAAGACCAUCAGCUGGCCUGUACACAACAGUCCACCUUGCGUCCAGACCCGUCCUGCCAGGAUUGGGUGGCAUGCGGCCAUGCUCGGUCUUUAGCCGCAAACUGUCACUGCUUGAACAGUUAUUGAUGAGCCGUUUCUUUGUCAUUCCCCUCUAAUGGCAUGUGUAUCAUAUUGUAUGCUGUUUUUUUUUUACACAUAUAUUUUGCUAAAUAUGUUUUAUGGCUUGGCUGAAACCUCAUGUUUAAAGCUGUCAACUGUGAGCAAAAUGGUGAAGGCUACAUACGUUGCCUGCCAAAGAGCCUAUGAAGAAAGAGAGUGAAUAGGGUGUUAUGAUGCCUUUCUCUUCACACUUGGCGUGUCACAAUUGGCAGUUACCCAUGUAUAAUGUGCGCCUACUUCCUUUUUUUUCUUUUCAUGUAUUGGAAGGCCUACUGUGGCGUUCGAGUUGCGAGACAUUGGAUAUUUAGGUUGUGAGGGUGAUAAGGCAAAAACUGAAUUGGGUGAAAAGGUAAAAACUUAAUUCUCCAGGAGGCUUGUAUGAGCAUUGCUGGGCUAUCUUGUCUUCUUGAAUCGGUCGUCCAAUAGCUAGGCAUGGUGAUCGGAUGUGAUCACAUUUACAAGAGUUCUUUACAAUUGAAAUUAAUUCAUGUGGUGUGGCUGCAAUGAAUCGAGACAUUGUAGUGCAGAUGAAUUGUAGUCUCUGAAUAAAUUGGUGUAUCUUGUGCACAAAGUUUUCAUGCGUGCAUAAAUGUACCAUUGGCUUAACUGAAGGGUAGUAAGCAUUUUGUCACCCUCUGCAGCUGACGAGGGAAGUGGUGCGUAGUAUUUAUUAUCUCUGUUUAUCCAUUUGUUUUACUUGCACAGAUUCAUUGUAUGAAGAUAUGAGUAAGUCUCAGUGCUGCGAUUGUUGACGGUAUGUUUUGCUUUAGCCGCUGUGGCUCUUUGGAAACAGUGCCAUGCCACAAACUUUGCUGGUGGGUUGAUCCGUCUGCUGCCAUUCAUGUUUUGAUGUUCCCGGCAGUGAACGUGCUUGAAGUUAGUCUCUUUAAGAGACAUUUUGUCUCUUAAUGGUAUGUUGCAUUGCUUAUUGAAUCCUUUUUAUUCAAACCUCUGUGUACUCAAGUCGUCAUGGGUGGCACUAAGUCAGUGGUUGUGAUAGCGUCGCCCUUGACAAUUUCAAGAGAGAGCUAUGCAUGUUGUUCCCGUGUAUAGCAUUCAGUUACAUGCUAUGUGCAAUGUAUGGUUUUUAACUAUACUAUAAAGAUACUUAAGUCACAUA